rnacentral:tRNA from 1 species
GGAGAGGUGCCGGAGUGGUUGAACGGGCACGACUGGAAAUCGUGUGUGGGCUUCACGGUCCACCGAGGGUUCGAAUCCCUCUCUCUCCG